rnacentral:rRNA from 1 species
GACGAACGCUGGCGGCGUGCUUAACACAUGCAAGUCGAACGCUGAAGACCUGGCUUUUGUUGGGUUGGAUGAGUGGCGAACGGGUGAGUAACACGUGAGUAACCUGCCCUCUUCUUUGGGAUAACGCCCGGAAACGGGUGCUAAUACUGGAUAUUCACUGAUCUUCGCAUGGGGGUUGGUGGAAAGGUUUGUUCUGGUGGGGGAUGGGCUCGCGGCCUAUCAGCUUGUUGGUGGGGUGAUGGCCUACCAAGGCUUUGACGGGUAGCCGGCCUGGGAGGGUGACCGGUCACAUUGGGACGGAGAUACGGCCCAGACUCCUACGGGAGGCAGCAGUGGGGAAUAUUGCACAAUGGGCGAAAGCCUGAUGCAGCGACGCCGCGUGAGGGAUGGAGGCCUUCGGGUUGUAAACCUCUUUCGCUCAUGGUCAAGCCGCAACUGUGGGUUGUGGUGAGGGUAGUGGGUAAGAAGCGCCGGCUAACUACGUG